CACGUUUGACAUGUCUAGUUUGGUCGGCAGAGAUGCCUUCCUUCAGUUCGGCUGGCUAGAACACAGGUGCUGCAUGGCUGUCGUCAGCUCGUGUCGUGAGAUGUUGGGUUAAGUCCGCAACGAGCGCAACCCUCGCUACUAGUUGCUACCAGGUUAAGCUGAGCACUCUAGUGGAACUGCCGGUGGCAAGCCGGAGGAAGGUGGGGAUGACGUCAAGUCCUCAUCGG
rnacentral:rRNA from 1 species